AUGUGACCUGAUAGUGCAAAGUAAACUAUCAUCUCCUUCAUUCUAGGUAUUAUGUUUCUAUUAAUGCAGUCUAAAGGGUUUUGGAAAUCUGGAUUGUAGCAGGGCAUUAUAAGUUAAAAAAUCAUCUUCCCAUUCUGUUCUUUGCAAAGAUAUUUCUGUUCCUUAAAUUUGUUGAGGGUAAGAGAUUGCAGAUUGCUUCUGUGGACUUCUUGAAGGUGGAUCUGCCUGUUGGUGGAGAACCCUAGACUGCAUGCAGCCAUGCACAUGAUCUGGAGACACAGCAGGU
rnacentral:lncRNA from 1 species